rnacentral:misc_RNA from 1 species
GAUGAAGAACGCAGCGAAAUGCGAUAAGUAAUUUGAAUUGCAGAAUUCAGUGAAUCAUCGAAUCUUUGAACGCACAUUGCGCCCGUCAGUAUUCUGGCGGGCAUGCCUGUUCGAGCGUCAUUACGCCCCUCAAGUCCCCUGUGGACUUGGUGUUGGGGAUCGGCGAGGCUGGUUUUCCAGCACAGCCGUCCCUUAAAUUAAUUGGCGGUCUCGCCGUGGCCCUCCUCUGCGCAGUAGUAAAACACUCGCAACAGGAGCCCGGCGCGGUCCACUGCCGUAAAACCCCCCAACUUUUUAUAGUUGACCUCGAAUCAGGUAGGACUACCCGCUGAACUUAAGCAUAUCAAUAAGCGGAGGA